UGUACUGCUGUGUGAGGUACUGUGUGUUACCUCUCUGUACUGCUGUGUGAGGUCCUGUGUGUUACCUCUCUGUACUGCUGUGUGAGGUCCUGUGUGUUACCUCUCUGUACUGCUGUGUGAGGUACUGUGUGUUACCUCUCUGUACUGCUGUGUGAGGUACUGUGUGUUACCUCUCUGUACUGCUGUGUGAGGUCCUGUGUGUUACCUCCCUGUACUGCUGUGUGAGGUCCUGUGUGUUACCUCUCUGUAUUGCUGUGUGAGGUACUGUGUUACCUCCCUGUACUGCUGUGUGAGGUCCUGUGUGUUACC